CUCGUAGGCGGUUUGGUACGGCGGUGGUGAAAGCUCCUGGCUUAACUGGGAGAGGCCCGCCGCAACGGCUAAACUCGAGGGUAGUAGAGGCAGAUGGAAUUCCUGGUGUAGCGGUGAAAUGCGUAGAUAUCAGGAGGAACACCCGUGGCGAAGGCGGUCUGCUGGGCUAUACCUGACGCUGAGGAGCGAAAGCCAGGGGAGUGAACG
rnacentral:rRNA from 1 species